UCAGCACCUGAGGUGAAGUAGGACCACCCGCUGAACUUAAGCAUAUCAUUAAGCGGAGGAAAAGAAACUAACAAGGAUUCCCUCAGUACGGGCGACGGAAGCGGGAAAAGCCCACAGUGGUAAUCUCCGUUCUUCGAACGGCGAAUUGUGAUCUGAAGGCAGUCAGCCUAACUGAACGUCCUGACGCAGAAGUGUCGCCGAGGCGGCCGCCAAAGAGGGUGAGAGCCCCGUCUGCGGUGUCAGGAUGCAGAG
rnacentral:rRNA from 1 species